GAUGAACGCUGGCGGCGUGCCUAAUACAUGCAAGUCGAGCGAACGGACGAGGAGCUUGCUCCUCUGAUGUUAGCGGCGGACGGGUGAGUAACACGUGGAUAACCUACCUAUAAGACUGGGAUAACUUCGGGAAACCGGAGCUAAUACCGGAUAAUAUUUUGAACCGCAUGGUUCAAUAGUGAAAGACGGUCUUGCUGUCACUUAUAGAUGGAUCCGCGCUGCAUUAGCUAGUUGGUAAGGUAACGGCUUACCAAGGCAACGAUGCAUAGCCGACCUGAGAGGGUGAUCGGCCACACUGGAACUGAGACACGGUCCAGACUCCUACGGGAGGCAGCAGUAGGGAAUCUUCCGCAAUGGGCGAAAGCCUGACGGAGCAACGCCGCGUGAGUGAUGAAGGUCUUCGGAUCGUAAAACUCUGUUAUUAGGGAAGAACAAAUGUGUAAGUAACUAUGCACAUCUUGACGGUACCUAAUCAGAAAGCCACGGCUAACUACGUG
rnacentral:rRNA from 1 species